GAAAAGCAUUGUCAGGGAAGAAGAGAUGCUUAACCUUCCCUAAUUAUAUUCAUGUGGGUAAAUAUUAUUACUAUAACUAUUUCAGAAGUUAUAUAAAAUUCCUAGAAGUUUGGCAAUGCCCUCACAGUACAUGACGUGUCCUGGUAAUGUCAUCCCUGCUAUUAGACAACCACAGUAUAAUAUUAUCGGUGGCAACUUCGGUUAUUAUGUUAAAUGUUGUAUGCCAGAAACAACCAAAUUCUCUUCUCAAAUUGCAUUAUUUUUAUAAUGAACUCUCAUCAGAUUUUUAACCAUGGUCAUUUUAAGUCUUUUGUCAUCCACAGACAAUUGUUUUAUGUCAAUGCUUUUCUAAAAGCUCUUGCCAUCAACUACAGGCCAGAAUGCUUCAUCUUUAACAAAAGGGGACCAUUUCAGAUACCCAUGAAGAGGACCAUGCCAGGUUCAGAGGGUACAUGUGCGGAUUUGUUACUUGGAUAAUUUGCACGUCGCUGAGGUUUGGUGUACAAAUGAUCCUAUCACCCCGAGUAGUGAGCAUAGGACACGACAGAUCCUUACCUCACAAGGCCUGACCAGUGUCUUCAAUAAACCCACUUCCUUGUUUGUGAAACAUCUGGGGAAGUAUUAAAUGGGGGAAAGGAAGGAAUUAACAGCCCACCAAAAUGGUGUGAAAAUUACUUUAAACUCAAAACAUCUUCACAAUCAGCAGCCACAGAAAGAAACAUUAUCUAAACUUAGGCAGAGCCUCCUGAAUUACAGCUUCUAUGACCCCCUCUGAGGGAGUUUCCCGAUUGUGAGAAGACUCAUCCUAGGAUCAGCGAGUGAGGAUUUAGCUGUCCCUUAUCAUCACAAGGCCCAAUAGAAACUUCCCUACUUUCCCAUGGAGUCCAAACCCCACUCCCCCUCUCUGUUAAGUUGGUAUAUAAACCUUUAACUCUGCAGCCAUAAAAAAGAAUGAGAUCAUGUCCUUUGCAGGGAAGUGGGUGGAGCCUGUAAACCAUUAUCCUAAGCAAACUAACACAGGAACAAAUACUGCAUGUUCUCACUUAUAAGUGGGAGCUAAAGGAUGGGAACACAUGGACACACAGAGGGGAACAACACACACUGGGCCCUAUUGGAGGGUGGAGGUUGUGAGGAGGGAGAGGAUCAGAAAAAAUAACUAAUAGGUACUGGGCUUAAUGGCUGGGUGAUGAAAUAAUCUGUUCAACAAACCCUCAUGACACACGUUUACCUAUGUAUCAAACCUGCACUUGUACCCCUGAACUUAAAAUAAAAGCAAAAAACAAAAAACCAAAAACCUUUACCUCUGAGUAUUCAGGGAGUUGCCCAUUAUUGAAUAUUUCACAUGUACAUGUAAAUAAACCUUGUCCUUUCUUUUGUUAAUCUGUCCAUUGUUACUUAAUUCUCAGGCCUCUGACCAUUGAACCAAAGUGAGUAGAGAAAAAAAUUUUCCUCUUAGACUGUCUGGGC
rnacentral:lncRNA from 1 species